UACCGCCAUGCCUGACUUCAAGUUUCUUUACUGGACUGAGGAAGACUUGGAGACUUUGGACUAGAAAAGUUGUUGAGCAUUGUAAGUGGAUCAUAAUGGGUCACCCUACUAGAAGCUUGAAAGACUGAUGAAGCUGUACAGACAGUGGAGGCUUGGCUUAUCAGGUUUCAGAGGGGGAACAUAUUAGCCACAGGCCUAGAGACUUUUCCUGGGCAAAGAAUGUGACUGCCUUCUGCCCCGCAUCUAAGACUUUGCCUGAGGUCCAAUUAAAAAGCAAUGGCCUACCUGUUGGACAGAGGAGAUUUCAAGACAGCCUAAUAGUGACUCUGUCACAUGGCUAAUAGUAACCACUCUGAUGGAACACUACACUGAAAAAGAGUAAGAGGCACAGAAGAAAGAAACACAAAAUGAACAGUUCGAAGAAAUGGAAACUUGAUGUCACACGUGGCCCAGGCUUAGGCUGAAAGAGAUACGGAGAUAAAGGAGAGGAACUACAGUGGAGUAAAGGGAAGGGCGGCUUCAGGACGAGGCUCUACCCAGCCAAGCUUGCAGCUUGUGAGCGGAAAAGGUCCAAGGAAUUCCUUACAUCUAGGAAGGAACGACAAAAGCUGCUGUAAAUGUCAUUCGAGGGGGACCAGAGUUUCUCUCGCAAUGGCAGCAGAGCUCAACAGGGUUGCCCAAGAGGUGAUGACGUUAGAGUCAAGAAGGAUAUGUAAGGACUGGUGGAAUCUUUCCUCAUGGGCUUCAAAUAGCUACUGAACCCAGGUUGUGGCAGGGGAGUCUGCACGGAUACCUAAGAGGGCAUUGCAUGAGGCUAUGGAGUGAAGCCUGGAUUGCAUUGGAGACCCCAGAAUGUUGGAGAUGACUGAGCCAAGAUAUAUGCCAAGGGGAGAUGCAAUCGGGACGUGGUAGUGAGCAGAGAGAGGAGAAAGAGAUCUUCCAGGCAGCUCCGUAGCAUCAGACAGGGAGAUAUAGGAUUUGGAGUUUGCCCUGCUGGGUUUCAGUCUUGCUUUGGACUAGUAAUUCAUCACUAUGCCCCCAUUCCUCACUAUGGAAGGGUACAUUGUGGAACUCUUAAAUGGUUCUAAGAUUUCACCUGAAGAAUCUGGAUUUAAAGAAACAAUGUGUACAGUUUUAUUAGAGUCUCAAGAUGUUUUUCCAACACAGCAUGGUCUGUGGCAAUUGCUUGACAAUUAAAGGGCUUCCUGGAGUUGCGUGGAACACAGUCUUAGGACAUACCAUGAAGUCCAUCAGACUUUGGACAAGCUCCACAGGCGAGACCAGAAGAGAAGCUGCCUGUCUGGAUCACCUUAACCCGAAGACCAAGUUCAGGAUUCCAUGCUUGCUGAGAUGAUUGACAGGCAUCGUAGGAGAAACGACAUCUGGGAAAUUUCUCAUCAGGAGAUACUUAUCUCAUGUCAAUGGAAUAUGGAGAACAAAUGUUGGUUUCGUUUGCCAAACAAAAGCACAGAGAGUACCCGGCACCCGUGGGGACAUAAUACACAGUUUCAGUUUGAUAUCUCUUGACCGGAAUGUGAUGCUGGCUGUUUCCUGAUGAGGUCCUAUUGGCUCUACAAGCUUUAGUUACUUUGUGGCAAGGUCGGAGAAGGAUGCCUCACUGAACACCUGCACCCGGGGUUGACUGAAACAGUAUGGGAGACUGUAUCUGUUCAAAGCUCAAUUUCCA
ensembl:lncRNA